AAACAUUAUAAUACAAAUAUAUAACCAAGUCCAAAAUAAGAAUGAAAAAACAUAAAAGCAACACAAAUAUAAUUUAAAUCUAGUAAUGAAUAGGAACCAAAACUAAAACAGCUCAUGGGCAUUUCAGAACUAAAUAAAGUCCUUAAUUUUCCUGAGCUAAAGUAUAAUCAAUACAUGGAAAAAGAGAUUCCAGACCACAGGCCUCCUUCAUGUGAAGAAGAACCAAUAUAAAAUUGGGAAGUUAUGGGAGCCAGAGAAAUUAUGCCUCUUAGUGUAGGGAAUUAUUGAAGAGCUUCCCAUAUUCCCUGUAGGUAGGGGAAAGUCACCAGUGAUAAAUUAGAAUAUCAGAUCUAUACAGCCUGGAAGUGUGGUCAUAAUUCACAUGACUCAACUGGUGAGGACAUUGAGAUAAGGAAUUAUCUUUUGAUAGCUGGUCCAGAAUCAGUGAUAUUAUGAUCUUAAGGUAUUGACAAGGGUUAAAUGUGAAACUUCCUUGAAGGGAGUUCUUAUAAGCUUGGGUGCUUGCAACUUCCAUGGAAAAUAACUACAGAAAAUUAAUUAUGGUUAAAAAAUUAUAAACUUCCCAAGGAAAUGUACUACUUUAAAGCAAUGUGAUCAGAUGUAACACAUGAAAGAAUUUAUACUCCAGAAACUGGAAAUAGACUGAUCAAGGGAUUGAGGCCAGGACAGAUACCAACAUUUUCAGAUGCUCAAAUUUUAUAUAAUAAGUAGUGUUUGCAUAUAACCUUCACACAUCUUCCCAUGUACUUUAAAUCAUUUGUAUAUCACUUAUGAUAUCUAAGUGAAUAGUUAUUAUGCAGUAUUAUAUAGAGAACAAUAUCAAGGAGAAAAGUCUGCACAUGUUCAAUACAGAUGCAAUUGUUUUUCAGAUAUUUUCAAUCCAAUGUUGAAUGAAUCUACUAUUAUAGAGCCUACAAAGAGAGGGAGAGAGCAGACUGUUUCAUUUGUGGUUGCUCUGAGGAUUAACUAUAACAUUCUAAGUUUAUAACAAUGUAGUUUGAAUUCAUAGCAACUUAAUUCCAAUAGCAUAGGACUGUGCUCCUCCUGUAUAGCUCUCCCUACCCUGCACAGUUUAUGUUGUUGUCAGCACAGAUUGUAUCUACAUAUUCUAUGCCCUA
rnacentral:lncRNA from 1 species